rnacentral:rRNA from 1 species
GACGAACGCUGGCGGCGUGCUUAACACAUGCAAGUCGAACGGAAAGGCCCUGCUUUUGUGGGGUGCUCGAGUGGCGAACGGGUGAGUAACACGUGAGUAACCUGCCCUUGACUUUGGGAUAACUUCAGGAAACUGGGGCUAAUACCGGAUAGGAGCUCCUGCUGCAUGGUGGGGGUUGGAAAGUUUCGGCAGUUGGGGAUGGACUCGCGGCUUAUCAGCUUGUUGGUGGGGUAGUGGCUUACCAAGGCUUUGACGGGUAGCCGGCCUGAGAGGGUGACCGGCCACAUUGGGACUGAGAUACGGCCCAGACUCCUACGGGAGGCAGCAGUGGGGAAUAUUGCACAAUGGGCGGAAGCCUGAUGCAGCAACGCCGCGUGCGGGAUGACGGCCUUCGGGUUGUAAACCGCUUUCGCCCGUGACGAAGCGUGAGUGACGGUAAUGGGUAAAGAAGCACCGGCUAACUACGUG